rnacentral:rRNA from 1 species
UUAAAUUGCUGUGGUAUUUUGACUAUACGAAGGUAUUGAAAUAAGGCUUUAAAUGAGUGCUAAGAGAAUGGUUUAACAAUUAAAAGCUUUCUUUAAUUAACAAAUUGAAUUUAAUUUUUUUGUGAAGAAGCAAAAAUAAUAGUUAGGGACAAGAAGACCCUAUGAAUUUUAAUUAAAUUAUAUUUAGGGAAAAUCUUAGAAUUUAAUUUGGUUGGGGUGAUUAAAAAAGAAUGGAUAUCUUUUUGUAAAGUUUUAAUUUGUUCCGUUAUUAAUGAUUAAAUGAUAAAAAUACUCUAGGGAUAACAGCGUAAUAAUUUUGGAUAGUUCUUAUAGAUAAAAUAGUUUGCGACCUCGAUGUUGGAUUAGGAUUCUUUUUUAAUGAAGAAGUUAAAAAAAGAAGUUG